AAAAGGUGUGAUGUUAGCUAAAAUUCAAAUGAGGACGGCAGAAGCCCGAGCAAAUAGGAUCCGAUCGGAAGGAUCCUCUCCACGUCAACUGUAUAUCGUGAGUUAUCCUCUCGAGAUGAGCAUGUAACGUGAAGUCAAUAUUACAUGCUGCACAAUUCAAACUACGUGAUGGCUGAUCACCUACUACUGGCCUAUAAAUAGCGUCUCGGCCUCCCAUCUGAUCAUUCCAAACCCAAAGCAUACCAUCUCCUCUCCUCUCUCUACUUUCAUCUCAUGGCUGCUCCGGCUCUCAAGUUCGCCGCCGUCAUGCUCCUGGCCGCCCUCUGCGCGGCGGCGCUGGCCCCGGCCACGUCGGGACAGCCGACGGACGCGCUAGCAACGUGCAUCGGGCGCUGCGGGUGUGUGCCCUGCCCGAAAGGGAAGGUCUGCAUCGCUAUUUGCACUCCCCCGCCGCCCUGCGCGGCCAGAUGCCGCUGCACCUAUUCCGGCACGGGCUGCUAGGCGGCUGAGACCCACGGCACCGUCCGUCAGGAAGCCUGGCAGCGCAAGCGCUGAAGGCAGGAGCUAGCUCAUACGUUCUACUGUGUAUUGUAUUUUUUUUUGAACUUUUCUACUGUGUAUUGUACGUCCUGUAUGUCCAUGCAUGGAUGCAUGUUUCAUGGGUGCGUCUGUGUGCUGUGAUGUGGUAAUAAAGUGUACACGGAUCGAUCCGUGAGACAAAAAUAAAUAAAUAGAAAUGUCAUUUUGGUUUGACAGUGUAUAUUACCUUUAUCGUAAUCAAACUUCAGAGCAUGUAUGAUGGAAACGUUCAUCAACCUAUGUAAUACCAAAUACAUACAGUAUAAAAUACGUUUUAUGUGAAUC
rnacentral:rRNA from 1 species